UCUUAAGAUUUCCCCAGGCUUCACUAAGGCAGGUUUCCAUGCCGGGGAAACUGGUUUAUUCUCGAGCAGAUCGGUCCCUAGCCAGAGGAUAGAGGUGAAGGGUCUCGUGCUGAUAGCGCCUGAACCAGGGCAAGGCAAACAUCCCCAAGCCAUACCUCCAACACCAAAGACAAAGCUUUCUCUCCGAAUUCUGCUCUCCAGCCUCUGGAGAGCUGUGUCAACUAUCAGGAACCUGGGGAUUUUCAUUCCCACAACAGACUUAUCAAGCCAAACUCAGACUUGAGGAAAUGACUUCCCUAAGGGCUCCAUGAUCCUUUUAAGUUGUGGGACUGGGUUUAAAAUGAAAAUAAAGGACAGUGUCAUCUA